AGGCUUCUUUGGAGUCAUUAUAUCAGCCGUGCUCUCAUUUUCGAGCAUCGAAGAAACUUCCAGCAUAGAAGGUCUAUCGUCUGGGUUCUCCUGAACACACAACAGAGCUAUUUGCAGACAUGUUAGCAAUUUCCACGAGGAAUGCGUAUCAUCUAGUGAUGUAUCCAUUAACCCCAUGCCUUUCCCAUCUUUCCACAGCUCAUAAGCCUGUAAAUAUCGAAUAUGUUAUUGAGUUACAUUCAAUUAAUUAGCACUAUAAAGUUUUGAUCCAGUGUGCAUUAUAAAGGGGGUUAUGAAGAAACUUACAUACUGUACAAGGCUUAAAUUUUCAUUCUGGCCAGAUUGAACGAACAAUCUUCUUCCACUUAUAAUUUGCAAAAGUAAAACCCCAAAACUGUAGACAUCAGAUUUGGUGGAGUAGAUGCCUCUCGUCACAUACUCAGGAGGGAUAUAGCCACUGUUGUACCAAGUACUUACAAAUAUCAGUUAAAUUGUUUGACCUAAAAGGUUAAGCUGAUUGGUAAAGGCUCAACAAUAGUAUUAAAGACAAGUCGAAAAAUAGACGUAUAUACACUUACUGUGUUCCAACAAUUCGACUGGUGUUUGCUUCAAGGUCGUCUUUCACAAAAAUUCUAGCUAAGCCAAAAUCUGAUAUUUUAGGCUUCAUAUCUUCAUCCAAUAAAACGUUACUAGCUUUCAAAUCUUGAUGAAUAAUUGUUAAUCUAGAAUAUUCUUGAAGAUAGAGAAGCCCUUGAGUUAUUCCUUAAAUGAUAUGAAUGCGUUUUUUCCAAUCCAAAAUAAACCUUCGGAUGGAAUCUACAUCAAAUAUAAGUAUAGUUGGACGGUCGGUAGCAUUAGCAUUUGGAGAUGAGAAAGCAAAUGGAGGCACAUAAAUUAAAAAUUAAGCAGUUAAGCUCAUACCAAAAAGGAAAUAGUCCGAGCUUCGUUUUGGCAUGUACUCAUAGAUCAGCAUUUGUUCUUCUCUGUCAAUGCAAAAACCUAAAACCCUAAUAAGAUUUACAUGUUGGAGUUUUGCAGUAAGCAUAACCUCAUUCUUGAACUCCUCAAAUCCUUGUUUGGAUGUCUUUGAGAGUUUCUUCACAGCUAUUACCUGUCCAUCAGGUAAUACACCCUGCAAACAACCCCAAAACAUUAAAAAGAAAAAAAAACGCAAUGUUCAUAUACAUGUGUGUGUGUGUAUUUCGCUAAUUAAUUAAUAAGAUGAGAGAUAGCCAAGCUAUCGAUAUAUAACCUUGUAAACAGGGCCAUAUCCACCCUCCCCGAGCUUAUUUUCAAUUGAAAAUCUAUCCGUGGCCACCUCAAUAUCAGCCAAGCUAUAUUCUCUAAGAUCAGGAUCAUUGCUGUUAAAAUCUCCAGCAUGUGCUUGACUGUUUGCUCCGUCCUUUGAUGACUUGGCUGAGUCAAUUACUAUCCCAAUUAAUAUCAACCAAGGAAAAAAAAAAAAAAAAGCUAAUUUAAGUAAAUUGCCCACUUCUUCAACUGCGCUAAAUAGAAUAGAAGUAAAAAUAAUCCUAAACCAGUGUAGAAGAAGUUACCUUUUAAUUUGGGGUUUUUCAUCCAGCAGUAGUAAUAUAGACAAAAACCUAGUAGAAGAAUACAAGCUGCAGUUGUAGGCAAAACAAUUACCCAUAAUGGUCGCUUAUUUUGACCAUUCUUGUCAUCCUCUUCAGCUGAAAAGUCAAAUCACUUUGCGUUGGUUAGCCAUUGAUGCUGAAAUAAAGAUCUUAAUUCAAGUCAUUAUCCAGAAAAGUGAUCAACGGAUUGCAGUGAGUGCGGAAUUCCAUUUGCUUACCUGCAGCUUGAGAAAGCAUCCAAUCAUGAUCAUAGGAAACUAGCCACACAUGGUAACCGCGUAGCUUCUUCUCCUUGGCAUAAGCAACCUUCACUCUAAUGGCCUCCACAUCAUCAAAACCAAACCAAAUCUUCCCAAUCGAGCAGUAGUUCACCACAUAAGUUGAAUUGUACAUAACUUGGACAUUAGGACCAUAGCUCUUGAUGCGAUUCUUGAUUUCCUUGUAAGUCACAAGACCAUUUUCACUCAAAGCUGCUCCCGUUGCUGCUGCACCAAUACCAUUGUCCUCAGGUUUCACAAGCUUCCAUGCAUAGCCAUAGAAAGGCAAACAUAAAACCAAUUUAUCAGCCGAUAACCCUUCCUCAAUCCAUUCCGUGAUUCCGUAUUCAGUACUAUAGUCACUAUUUGGAUCAUACAGAGCCGCAUGAGCACCAGUAAAAUUUGUCCACGUAGGGGCUGAGUAAUCAGUAGUGAAAACAUGGACCCAAUUCAAGUACUGUCUUAUAAAGUCGACUGGAUAAGUUGCUUCUGUUAAGAAUGGUGAAUAUGAAACCGUUGCCGUCAAAAUCAACUGUGAUUGGCUCGAGUUAUUUCUUGCUUCUAAAUCUACGGCAGCUCGCCACUCUUUAAAGAGAAUGGCAAUAUUGUAAUUAUCCCAGCUUGUGUUUGCCUUAGACCAAGACAGAUCUAAGCCUUGAAAGCCAUAAAGCCUUGCUAUGUUUAUUGAGGAGUCAAUGAAGGAUUUCCUGGAAGAAGGAUUGCUUGCCAUGGAAGAAUAAGUUGAAUAGCUUACAUCAUUUCCUCCUCCGAUGGAGAGAAGUGUAGUGAUUGAUGGGUUCUUUAUUUUGACUGUGUGCGUGAAGUUGGAGAAUUGUUUUUCAUCCGAAGGUGAUAAAGAGAGCUCGUAGGAAGUUGAGUUGACAUCAGCAAAACCACACAUAAGGUGAGUGAAGAGAGCAGAAUUUACAUCUGAAACAGGGAACCCAUCGCCUGAAUCCCAGUAACCAGCUCUGAUUAAAGUUUGUGCUCUUGCAGGAAGCGAUUCUGAAAAUAUAAAAAUGUGGAGGACAAGAAUGAUAAUUUUGGAUGCCAUUGUGGGAACCUGGCUGCUUGAGGCAUACCUAGUAUGUGAUUAUAUAUUUGUACACACACAAAAUGUAAUGGAGAAAUUAUCCUAUACCGAUUGAGAUUAGUUAUUGCACUAAUAAUGCAAACUUGAGUCAACUUUCAACUUAUGAGCUUAGUCCAUAAGUUUUUAUAAUACGAUAUCAAAAUCAAGUUAUGAAUGAGGGACCCUAUAAUACCUUCCAACCUAACUUAAUAAUUAAUCUUAGCCAAUGUGACAUACUUGUUCUAUCGCUUUAUCACGACCAAGUCGAUCUUUUAGCUUUGUCUUUUUUUCAUGAUAAUAAGUGAUAAGAUUGAAGUUCUUAAAUUAAGCUAUGACUUUUUACCUCCGCUUAGCUUGACUUCUGAAGUUGGAGACUCGUUCUUUUGUAUUGACUUUGUUGGUAUUUAAAUGAACUCGGAGUCCUCGACGAGUUUCUGAAGCGAAGUCAUUAUUCCUCUAUGACUCCAUCCAUGCAAUUGGAAGGCAAAAUCUUGUGAAAAUAUUUUCUAAGUUGAUUCAGUCCAUGAUCAACGUGCACAAAACGCAAAAUCUUGCGAAAAUCAAACCCGUCCUCACUCAUGAGCUCGAUUUCUAGCUUAAACUCCUCCUCACUCAUGACCUCACUUUAAUUACAGCUUGUCAUUGAAUUGAGUGUUGCCUUAAUUAAGCCAUCAACUUAAUAAAGUGAUGGUCAUUAAGAAAUACACUUAGUUACUUCCUGAUGGUAAGAUUCAAUAAUAUUGUAAUUUAAAAAAAAGAAGAAAAGAUCCAUAUACCUUUUCCUUGUGUAAUUUAAUUUUCAGUCCAGUCCACCCUCCCAUUUUAUCAUAAAAGUCUAUACAAACAUACGUUUUACUCAAUGUUUACUUAGAAACAAAUGGUGGGCGUACGAGUGCCGAUCUAGUACCACUCUCGUAUACUUGGUGGGAUUCGGCUUCACCAAAUUUGUAGCAUAUAUUUUACUUUAAUGAGAAAAUCAAAUAAUUAUUGAACAAAUAAUUUUUUUUUCAAUAUACUUUCUUAAAAUGUAUGGAGUUGGUAAAGUGCAAAUUCAUUUUUUAGCCCUUUGACUCCUCCAAAAUCCAAACUCAAAUUAAUGGUCAGUUAAAUAAUGUUACUUGAAAAUCAUUUCCUAUCUAGAAUUUGUUUAAUUCUAUUAAUUUACAAUCGUUUUUCAUUUUACUUAAUUAAUUAAAGUGAAUUUAUUAUGUAUACAUCUACAUACGUAAAAUCUUAAAAUUCAGUGUUGAAUUGAAUUGUACUAAAUUUUUUAUAAUUUUUUGUGAGACCUGCGUUUUUAACAGUUUAAUAUUAAUAUUGAUAGCACAUAAUAUACCGGAUUAAGAGAGAUUGAUUUCGACUGCUACAAGAUUUUUAGGAUUGCAUGCACAAGGGUUUAAAAACAAAGUAUACACUUAAUUACACUAAACGAGGGUGCAUUUUUAUGAUGAAAUAAAAACUAUGUACAGGUUGUAAAAGUGGCUCCAUAAUUAGUGUACAUUAACAAUCAUCUAGCUACCACUUCCGAAAAUGAUAAAUCACAAGCCGAACAUUUUUCCAAUUGUGUUGUAGAUAAUAGUUCAAUCCCAAUUUCAUCAACUUGUUUUGAGAAAGCAGGCUUCUUGGGAGUAUUUAUAUUUGUGGUUUCAUUCUUGAGCAUUGAGGAAACUUCCAGCAUUGAAGGUCUAUCGUUUGGAUUCUCCUGGACACACAACAAAGCUAUUUCCAGACAUCUCAUUAAUUUACAAGGGGAAUUUGUAUUGUCUAGGAAUGAAUCCACAAACUCCACGCCUUUGCCACCUUUCCACAACUGAUAUGCCUGAAAUUAUCAAGUACCAUCUCGUUACAUAAUUUAUACUUCUUAAUUAAGUGCGCAUAUGUGUACUCAGGGUUACUAUAGCCGAAGAAACUUACGUGCUCUAGAAUGCUUAAAUUUUCAUUGAUGCCACAUAACACUGAAAGCCUCUUUCCACUUAUGAUUUGUAGAAGUAAAACUCCGAAACUAAAAACGUCUGAUUUGGUAGAGUAUACACCUUGUCUGGCGUACUCAGGAGGAAUAUAGCCUCUGCAUUCAAAAUAACCAAGUAUAUAUGAGUAAGGGAUUUUGCAAUUUAAUAAAUUUGUAAAACCCAUUUUAAAUUGUGGUAAAAGUCCAUUCUGCAUUUUAUUAAAGUGCUGAAUUCCUUAUUCGAAACCCAAUAUAUGUAUAACAAACAGAAGCUUGAGUAAAGGAUAUCAUUUAGAUGUAAUAUACUUACAUUGUUCCCACAAUUUGUUCUGUAUUCGCUUCGAGACUCUCUUUUGCAAAAAUCCUAGCCAUACCAAAAUCUGAAAUUUUAGGUUUCAUACCUUCACCUAACAAAACAUUACUGGCUUUCAAGUCUCGAUGAAUAAUAGUCAGUCUUGAGUAUUCUUAGAGGUAUAAAAGCCCUUGAGUUAUCCCUUCAAUGAUAUGAACACGUUUUUUCCAAUCCAAAAGAAGUCUUUUGAUGGGAUCUACAACAAAUAUAUAGUUUUGGACAAUAAGUGAUAUACAAAUGAAUUAUAUACACAUUUGAUAUUAACUUGAUUUCAGAACAAACCAAAAAGGUAGCAAUCCAAGCUUUUGUUUGGCAUGUAUUCGUAGACCAGCAUCCGUUCCUCACUCUCAAUGCAAAAACCUAAAACUCUAAUAAGAUUUACAUGUUGGAGUUUUGCAGUAAGCAUAACCUCAUUCUUAAACUCCUCAAAUCCCUGUGCGGAUGAUUUCGAAAGUUUCUUCACUGCUAUCACCUCUCCACAGGGUGAUACACCCUGCAACCCAAAAAAAAAAACCACGUUCAUAUAAAGCUUUCACUAGUUAGAGAAGCUGAGAAAUGUUAGCCAAACAAUAUGCUACCCCCCAAAGUUGAGGGCACCAUUUUAAGUUCUUUAAGUCCCCAUGGACGCAAAAUGUAAAUCUCCUCUCACAGAAUAUGGAUAUGGGUAGAGGUAUCUUCCUAAAAUGUUAGUCGAAGUAGUUAUAUCCCUCUAGUGUGAGGUUAGAGGUCUCAUCUCUAAUAGGCAUAGAUUUUUAAAUUAUAUGUUUUGGGCCUCUGAAUUCUACGACGAGUGUACAAAUUCAAACUUCCGAUAGGAUCCAAAUUGAAACAUUGUGGAUUGUAACAAAUUAAAAUAUAGGUACACACACACACACACACACACAUGUUACCUUGUAAACAGGACCAUAUCCACCCUCCCCAAGCUUAUUUCUAAUUGAAAAUCCCUCGGUGGCCGCCUCAAUAUCAGCCAAACUAUAUACUCUGAGAUUAGGAACAUUUCUGUUAAAGUCUCCAGCUUCUGUUUCAUUAUUUGCUGUCGUGUUUGAUGCUUUAGCAGAAUCCUCUGUUCCUAACAUCAACCAAGAGUACAUAUUAGAUAAAUAAUUGUAUGUCAGCCUCAGAUUUAUGUGUAUAUAUAUGAAUGAAAUUCAUGCUUAAUUAUAAUUGAUAGCUGAAACUUGUUACCUUCUAUUAAAUUGAGCCUUUUCAUCUGGUUGUAUUUAUAUGCACAACAGCCUAGAAGGAGAGUCAAAGCUGCCGCUGCAGUAGAAAUGAGUGCAAUGGACAGAUGGCGGUUAUUACUAUGUUCAUCUUUGUCAGCUGAAGCAGAAGUAAUCCUUUCUUUUUGUGCUGGAAAUAUGUAUAGUUCACCAAUUAAUAAUUACUAGCUAGAGAUGCCAUAACAAUCAUUAUUAAUCAGAGAGAACAAUUAUUGCAUAGAUAAAUACCUGCAGCCUGAGAAAGCACCCAAUUAUGAUCAUCAUAAUCAACUCGCCACACAAAGUAACCACGUAACUUCUUCUCCUUAGCAUAUGCAACCUUCAUUCUAACGGCCUCGACAUCAUCAAAACCAAACCAAAUCUUCUCAAUCGAGCAGUAAUUGACCUCAUAAGUUGAAUUGUACAUAACUUGGACAUCAGGGCCAUAGGUCUUGAUGUGAUUCUUGAUUUCCUUAUAAGUCACAAGGCCGCUAUCAUGCAAAGCUGGUCCUGCUGCUGCUGCAACAAUACCAUUGUCUUCAGGUUUCACAAGCGUCCAUGCAUAGCCAUAGAAAGGCAAACACAUAACCAACUUAUCUGCCGAUAAUCCUCUGUCAAUCCAUGCCUUUAAAACCUGAUCGGUACUUCUAACAAAGCCGCCGCUACUUGAGCCAUAGAGAGCCGCAGGUGGCGCCGUGAAGUUUGUUGACACAGGCUCGUAGUAGCUAGCAGUAACCGCAUGAACCCAAUUCAAGUUUCGUUCUAUCGAAUUCAAAAGAUAUGAAUUCGCUGGUGGUGAAUAAUGAAAUCUUGCGGUCAAGAUCAGCUGGGAUUGCUGGCGACUAGAGUUUUUUGCCUCUAAUUUUGUAGCAGCAAUUCGCCACUCGUCAAAAAGUAAACCAAUAUUGAACAAAUCGGUGCUUGUGUUUGGAGCUGUCCAAGCAAAGUCUAGGCCCUGAAAGCCAUAAAGCCUAGCUAUUCUUAUUGAAGAGUCGAUGAAAGAUUUUCUGUGAGAAGAAUUGCUCACCAUUGAAGAAUAAAUAGAAUAGUUUGUAUCCAUUCCUUGUCCAAUGGAGAGAAGUAUAGUGAUUGAUGGGUUCUCUUUUUUCACAGUGUCUACGAAUUUGGCGAUUUGAUUUUCAUCGGAUGGUAAUGAUAAAGAUAGCUGGUAAGUGGUGGAAUUGAUAUCAGCGUAAGAGCAAAUAAGGUGAGUGAAGAGAUCAUAAUUUAUGCCCGAAAUGGUGGACACUUCGCUUGAAUCCAAGUAACCGACCCUGAUCCACGGUUUUGCUUUCGCGGGAUAAAAUUCUGAAUAGAAUAACAUGUGGAAGAUGAUGCUGAUAAUUAUGGAUGCCAUUUGAGACUUUGUUAGGAAUGGAAAUGGAUCCACACAAGAGAAAUUAAAUAAACACUAGUUUCACAGAUCAUUUAAGUACUUAUGUAAACUAUUAACUUAUAGGUUCAUUUCGUUCCAAAAAAAUCUUAUGUGCUUCUGAUAGGGAAACAUACAUUGCAUGUUAUGAUGAUGAUAGGCGAUGCGACCAUUGCCUGAGAACUAAGAUUUUCUUCCAUCGCUUGGGUGACCUUUCACGAAGAAAAAUGAUGUUUUGAUUUACAUUUGGUUAAACUGAUGACAAAUUUCGGGCCAUAAAUAUCACUAUUGUUUUAUUAAAUAAUAAAAAAAUUAAUUUUACAUGUACGUUGAAAGUUAAUAUUGCAAUCACCAACAAGUGCGUAGAUCAACUGACAAGGGGUUGUUCUAGCUUAACCAAGGUCCUUGGUUCGAGACUUGAGAAUGCAGCUACGUUAAAUACUUGUUGGGAGAGUUUUGUCAUCCUAAUGGCCUUACACGGCUCGAAUCUGAAUUAGAGUUUUGUCACCCUAAUGGUCCUACACGGCUCGAAUCUGAAUUAGUCGAGACCCACUGAUACCAAAUGGCUUCAUAUACCAAAGAAAAAGUUAAUAUUGCAGUCUUUUGAGACUGUGUUGACGUUUAUUCGGUUCGUUUAUUAUAUAUUCCCGUUUUUCUCCCUGUCUGUUUGCUACAGUGCUCUUACAAGGAUAGCAUCUUUAAUGCACCUCAGAAGUAGUUAAGAAAGUCUUGAUAAAAAACCAGACAUUUUCUAUCUACUCAAAACGUAGUUAUUGGACUAAUUAAGAUUCUAAUCCCUUUAAUAAAUAUUCAAAAAGGGUUACUGUCACUACUCAGUCCUUGUUGUUUUAUAAAAAAAAAAAAAAAAGAUAUUUAAAGAGGCAUCACAUAAAUCCUUCCUAAUUACAUUUUGUUUCAUUCAAGUUGUUGACUUAAUUUGACUGCCUGGAAAAAUUAGUAAAGAGGUAAAAAUAAAAAAAAAGGUAAAUUCUAGUUAUUAGACUAAAUAUAUAGUAUAAAUUUGCAGCAACUAGCAAAAAGUUUAGAAUAUGAAAAAUCCUAUUUCAUUUAAAAAACAAUGAAAAUUCUAAUCAUUUUAAAAAAAAAAAACUCUGAAAGUUUGAAAAACUAAGAUUUUAAGAUCCUUUUACAAUAACCAUAAUUAACACAAAUUUCCGAAUUAUUAUUACAUAAUAAAAUUUUACUAAUAGAAAUAAGAAAACAAAACAAAUAGCACUCAAAUCGGAUAUAUAAAAAAAAAUCUUGAAAUAAAUAGAAAAAAUAAGAAAAUAACUAAAACUUGCAAAACGACCAUGAAAGAAAUGAAAUUUCCGGCCGAACCAAGGGGCCAAUGUGCAUAGUAUUAUUGGACUAGAUUUAUCAGACCACAAGCUUCAAAACAAUAUAUUAUAUUUCCUAAAUGGACACAUGUAGGUUAAGUUACUCAAUUGUAUUAGGAGCUGUCCAAGCAAAAUCUAGGCCCUCAAAGCCAUAAAGCCUAGCUAUUCUUAUUGAAGAGUCGAUGAAAGAUUUUCUGUGAGAAGAAUUUCUCACCAUUGAAGAAUAUAUAGAACAGUUUGUAUAUCUUCCUUGUCCAAUUGAGAGAAGUGUAGUGAUUGAUGGGUUCUUUUGUUUCACAGCGUCUGUAAAUUUGGGGAAUAUUUGAUUUCCAUCAAAUGGUGAUGAUAAAGAUAGCUGGUAAGUGGUGGAAUUGAUAUCAGCGUAAGAGCAAAUAAGGUGAGUGAAGAGAUCAUAAUUUAUGCGCGAAAUGGCGGACACUUCGCUUGAAUCCAAGUAACCGACCCUGAUCCACGGUUUUGCUUUCGCGGGAUGAAAUUCUGAAUAGAACAACAUGUGGAAGAUGAUGCUGAUAAUUAUGGAUGCCAUUUGAGAGGCUUAAGCUUCUUAAUUACCACUUCGAUGGGAAUGGAAAUGAAUGCACACUGACACCAGACACAAUAGAUGAGAAAGUACAACGUCACACACUCAAGAAAUCACAAGCUCACCACCACAGCAAACAACAAAAGGAUACAGAAAAAUAUUCACCACCUAAAGUUGUUAAGCUACGGAUACAGAGCUUAAAACACUCACCACUCAAUGGAAUCCACCAAAGAGAUACAGAGUUUGAUAAUAGCUCAAAGUUCAUUCAAUUUCUAAAAUUAAUCUUCGUCCUUUUGUUACAACUACAUAAGCUUAAAUAAUUUUCUUGGAACAAUCCUCCAAGCAUAGAUUUACUACAAAGAAACCCUUCAAAUAACUUGACUUUAAAGACCAACAUUAAAGCUAGACAUUAAUAAAACAUUAGUAUGCUUAAAACACAACAAAGAACAUUAAAAAAAAUCUAAGUCCCGAAAUAUUCUUCUUGACUCAAAACUGAACAGUCUGCACUUAACUGAUCAUAACUUACUGUAGAAAACUCCAAAUUUAGAUUAGUAAAAUUCAUUGGAAAGCUAACAGAAAUAUCUUUCCAAUGAUGUAUGGCUCGAAAAUUAAUUCGAUCUCAUGCAGUACAGUUUAAUUCCAAAAGAUGCCCCUUCUGCACAGAAAUUCUGCUCACUUGAUUAAUGUAAGAACUUGAGCUGCACUUGGUAUAACUUGAUUACCAAAUAUUUCAAACACUCCUGUGUUACACACUAAGAGAAAUUAAAUAAACACAAGGUUCACAGUUCAUUGAGCUCUCAUGUUAACGUAUAGGUUCAUUUCGUUGCAAAAAAAAAAAAUCUUACGUGCUCCUGAUAGUGACACAUACACUGCAUGUUAAGAUGAUGAUGGGCGAUGCGACCAUUGCCUAAGAACUAAGAUUUUCUUCUACCGCCUGGGUGACUUUCCAUGAAGAAACAUGAUGUUUUGAUUGACAUUUGGUUAAACUGAUGACAUAUUUUGGGCUACAAAUAUUAGUAUUGUUUUAUUAAAUAAAAAUAAUAAUAAUUUUACGUGCAUGUUGAAGGUAAUAUUGCAGUCUUUUGAGCCUGUGUUGAAUUUCAUUCGUGUGCGUUCAUUUAUUAUCCAUCCCCUUUUUUCUCUGAGUCUGCUAGCCGUAGUCAUCUUAAAACGAUAACAUGUUUAAUGCAUGUAAAUGCACCUCAGAAGUAGUCAAGAAAGACUUGAUCAAACCAGAAAAUUUUCCUCUUAACACAGACGUAGUUAUCGGACUAAUUAAGAUUCUAAUCCAUUUAAGAAAUAUUCAAAAAGGGUUAUUGUCACUACUUUAGUCCUUGUUGUUUUAUUAAAGAAAGAAAAAAAAAAGAAUAUAUUUAAAGAAGCAUCACAUAAAUCCUUCCUAAUUACAUUUUGUUUCAUUCAAGUUCUUGACUUAAUUUGACUGCUUGGAAAAAUUAGUAAAAAGGUAAAAAUAAAAAAAAUGUAGAUUGAUAUUAAGGAAUUCAGCAAGCAAGCUACAAGAAUAUCCAAAAGCGUGUAAUUUAUGUUUAAGGAAAUAAGUGGAGAUAGAGAUGAAAUUGUAAAUUCAUCCCAAUCUUAAGUGGUUUAAUUCAAGAUGUAUGUUAGCUACAAGCACAGUAAGCAUGGUGAUGUCUCUCUUUAACGCAGGGGACACAACAAAAACACUGUAUUUCUACCCUUUUAAAAAAUUCCAAUAAUAUGUACACGUUAUAUAUAAGAUAUAAAAAUCAUUACUUUUAGUAUAAGAUAUAAAAAAAAAAUCAAUUAAUAACCAUUAGAGAAUAAAAAUUUAUGUAAUUGAUGCAGAUAAAUGGAAUCAAGUAGUAACAUUUCCUUCUCAUUGAAGAGAAAAGAUUUAAAAAAAAAAAGGGGAACGCAAACAUGACAAUUUUUUUUAUCCGCACACGCCAUGAUAAUCGAUAAUCCGAUAUACCAACCGCGUCUAAUUGUCUGAAUUCUCCAGCUUACCAAGCUUGCUCAAUCGCACCGACAGACACUGACAAUGGGAGAUUAAUCACCACUCGCAGUAUUCGACGCGUGAAGGACACAUUCACCAAUAAUUUAUAGCGGACAGUAGCAUUCCCGAUGCUGCACGGAGAAAAAUAGUUGGAUUUGCGUAAGUUAAAUUGACUUGACUCGAGAGAGUGAAGAAUGGUGGUGGUUGCUGUUAAGCAGUCAGUACUUCUGGCGACUGCUUGGCUUACACGCAGUUCUUGGGGGUGUCAUUUGACUGUGAAAAAGAAUUUUGGCUUUAUUGAUAUCAUGUUGGAUUUGGAAUUUUGGAUGGCUUCGUUUGGACCAUAAGACGCUAUCUCAUCCAUAACACGUUAGCAGUCCUUCUCACGGGAGAAAAACUGGGGUGGGAUUGAGCAAGAUUAUAUGAGUCCUCGAAGUGUCACUUACAAAUUUUUAAUUAUAAAUGACUGCCGAAUAAUUAAUCAAAAUUUUAUUAUUUAUGGUUAUAAUUAGAAUGAUAAGAAAUCAAUUCGAUGUUAUUCUUUGUGGCUCUGCUUAGAAUACUAAAAAAUCAAGUCGACUUACUUAUCUUUAUGUUGAUCAUUACAGGCCUUUUGAAUUUUUUAUCUACUUUAGUUGUAAGUAAUAUAACUUCACUUUUUUUUCUUUACUUUGGUUUGGUUUUCUUUAUAACUCAUAAAAAUUUUCUCGUUAAGAUUGUAUGAACCAAUUGAAACUUCAGAUUUGUAUGAACCAAUUGAAACUUCAGAUUCAUACUAGAAUUAUGAUGAUUCAAUAAAACCUUCAAAUUAAAUUCACAUAUUCCAUGAGGGAGAACCCUUGGAUUACAUUUGUUCAAGUUUAUGCUUUGAGUAAAAUAAAAGUAGAAAUAGGAAUUUGAAAGAAGAAAUUUAGUUAUAAAAAAUUAUCAAAUAAUUAAUUGUUUGGCAUUUAUUUUAUGGGUCCCAACCCAUGUGAUCCGCCAAAUGAGACGUCUUAUGUGAUUGGUUAUGCCAUGGUGCGCUAGCCACAUUUAAGUUUCUCUCUUCUUAUGGAUAUAACUGUAUAUGGGUGGCGUUAUAUAGUGCCCCACAUGGGCUCAUUAAAAUUAUUUUAUGUGCAUUUUAAACAUACCCUCUUUAUUGAUUUGAAACACCAAAAAUACCUCUCUUAAAUUUUAAAAAUAUAAAAAAAAAUUACGUGUUAAAACAAUGCUUGAUGUCUCUAGCCUAACAGUUAGCACACCUAUUGUAUACACUUUUACUUUUUUCUUCUCUAAUUUUUUACUCCUCUUUUCUCUAAUUCUUCACACUUCACUACUCUUUUAUCUCUAAAAAAAUUAAGCAAUCUCUAGAAGCUUAUUACUAAUUUUUUGAUCAAAUUACUUAUAUAAGUACUCUUGAUUGAUUAACACUUCUUUAAUUUUUUUUGGGGAUUUCUCUUAGAUGAAAGAAUUAAGGUUAUGUUCUAAAAAAAAUUUAACUCCCAUAUUAUGGUUUUGAUAAUGCGAUUAUCCUUAAAUUUUUCAACAUAUUAAAAUACUUUGAAACAACUGUAAAUGUGUUGAAUGAAAUAUUCUAAUAAAUUUAUAUUUUGGUACUUAUUAAUUAUUUAACUUUUUUCUUAAAAUUACAUUACUAUUUCAGCUUAGCCCUUGUGACAUUAAAUUCCUGAUAGCGCCACUAAAUGUAAGUUUUAAACUCAUGUUCGAUUUCUCCCAUGUUCAAACUCUACCUUUAAUUUAUAUUUCAAUUUUGUGGCCUACUUUUGAGUUUCUAAUUUCACAUAGAAGGCAUGUUAAACUUACCUUAGAUGCAAUAUUAAGAAAUCAAAUACACCAUGUGCAUUAGUGGGGGCGAAAAAAAAAAGAAAAGAAAAAGUCUUUUAUUGGUAAAAGAUGAAAGCUCUUCGGCACUGAUCAGAAGAAAAAUCAUUCUCCAUACAAUGAGCAAAACAAAGUCCAAUUCGCAUUGCAUAGAAGUAAGACCGAAGCAUUGGACUAAAAGCAUACACUAGUCUUAUUUUUCGUUACUGAUAACAUUUUUUUUCCCCUUAUAUUAUCACCUUAAUUAAGAAAAAUAAUAAUUUGUUUAACUAUUUGCGAAAAAGGAUGGCAAUAUACAAUAUUAUUGUGUUGAUGACCUUGAAAGCCAAUUCUUUUGAAACAGAAAAACUGUUUUUGUGUUUUGAUUAUGUUAAGCAAAUGAAUGGUCUUUAAGAGUUAUGAAAAUGUUAUCAAUAAAAUUACAAACUCUUAAGAGUUUAUAGAUGUAGUUAGUGAUAUUACAUUACAUUAAUUAAUACAAUACAAACUGUUUACUAAUAGAGCCUCAAGAGAGUAAUUCAUUAUUUAGUUGGCAAAUUAAACAACUGCAGCAGUCACUAGCAGCCUUCCAUGAGCUAGCAUAGAUCAAUUGUUCAUUUACCAACCAAUUGUGAAAUUGUUACAUCAUUACUUGAACAUAUUUCCAAUCCAAUCAUGGCUUUGUUUUGUUCAUCUUCAUAAGCUUUGUUUGAGAAACUUGCAGGCUUCUUUGGAGUCAUUAUAUCAGCUGUAUUCUCAUUUUCGAGCAUCGAAGAAAUUUCCAGUAUAGAAGACCUCUUGUUUGGGUUCUCCUGAACACAUAGCAAAGCUACUUGGAGACAUGUCAAUAAUUUCCACGAGGAAUUCGUAUCAUCUAGUGAUGGAUCCAUUAACUCCACGCCUUUCCCAUCCUUCCACAACUCGUAUGCCUGAAAACAUCAAAUAAGUUAUCGAGUUACAUUCCAUUGAUUAGCACUAUAAUGUUUUGAUUCAGUGUGUAUUAGAAAGGGGGUUAUGAAGAAACUUACAUACUCUACAAGGCUUAGAUUUUCAUUUUGACCAUAUCGAAUGAAAAGUCUUCUUCCACUUAUAAUUUGUAGAACCAAAACUCCAAAACUGUAGACAUCAGAUUUAGUGGAGUAGACUCCUCUUCCAAUAUAUUCAGGAGGAAUAUAGCCUCUAUAGUAUCGAGUAAUUACAAAUGUUACUAAAACUAUUUGACGUAAAAGAUUAAGUUGAUUGGUAAAGGUUCAACAAUAAUAUUAAAGACAAGUCAGAAAAAAAAUAGAAAAAUAUAUACUUACUGGGUUCCAACAAUUCGAUUUGUGUUUGCUUCAAGAUCAUCUUUCACGAAAAUUCUAGCCAAGGCAAAAUCUGAUAUUUUAGGUUUCAAAUCUUCAUCCAACAAAAUAUUACUAACUUUUAAGUCUUGAUGAAUAAUUGUUAAUCUAGAAUAUUCUUGGAGAUAGAGAAGCCCCUGAAUAAUUCCUUGAAUGAUAUGAAUACGUUUUUUUCCAAUCCAAAAUAAACCUUCUGAUGGGAUCUGCAUCAAAUGUAAAUUUAGUUGGACGGUCAGUACCAUUAGCAUUUGGAGACGAGAAAUGCAAAUUGAGGCACAAAAAUUAGAAAUUAAGCAGUUAAGCACAUACAAAAAAGGAAAUAGUCUAAGCUUCGUUUUGGUAUAUACUCAUAGAUGAGCAUAUAUUCUUGUGUGUCAAUGCAAAAACCCAAAACUCUGAUCAAAUUUACGUGUUGAAGCUUUGCAGUAAGCAUAACCUCAUUCUUGAACUCCUCAAAUCCUUAUGUGGAUGUCUUCGAUAGUUUCUUCACUGCUAUUAUUUGUCCAUCAGAUAAUACACCCUGCAAGCACCCCCCAAAAUAUAUGUUUUUUUAAAAAUCAGUGUGUUCACACAUGUUGAAAAGUCAUGCACGUGACAUUGAAAUUCAAAAAUGAAUGCAAAAUUUCAAAUGGCUACCAAACAUUUGAAGAAAAAAUGGAAAGUUGGCAAAUUUGUCAAAUUUGCCAAAUGGACACCAUUGACUAUUGGCUUAGGUUAUGUGGAAUAGUAAAAGGGUUGGUGCAAUAGUGCCAUUAUUUUCCCUAUAAAUAGAUGGCACUUCUUCCAUUCUAAAUCAUCCCAAAAUUGUUAAGCUUAUAAGUUUCUAAGCUUUUGAGAGAAGUGAGAGAAGUGUGUCUGAGGAAUUUAUCUUUCCUGCAGAGUGUGAGAGUACUGGGUAUAUUUGGGUUUCUGGGAAGUGAGAUUCGUUACUCAAAUAUUGUAUUCUAUUAAUUGUUAAAUAAACAAUUAUUCUUUCUUGCCUUCGUGGAUGUAGGUUUAAUUACCAAACCACGUAAAUUCUUGUGUCCUUUAUUUUUCAGUAAUUAUUUGGUGCGCUUGAUUCCGCAUUCCGCGCACAACAAGUGGUAUCAGAGCCGACGGUUCGUACUUGGGGGGAUACGGUACUAUUCACGUAUACGGUACUGUUCACGUAUACGGUAAUGUUCAUGUAUACGGUACUAUUCACGAAUACGUUGGAGACGGCCAUUUGUACUUGGGAGACAGUCUAUUGUAAGUAGUGUGUAUUUUUGCAUGUCUAGGAAAGUUCUGUCAAAAAAGGCGAUAAGAGUCUAAGGAUUCUGGUUUUUAAUUGGGACCGAAUUCCCGUCCAGUUUUCUGGGAACUUUCCUGGUGCAUUUAUUCACGCGAAAUUAACAUCAUAGAGGCUGUUUUUCAAGUGGAAAUAGUUCGUUGAGAAAAAUCGUAGAAGGUGAAACUUCCAGAAUUGGGGAGAGAUCUACCGAGACUAUUUCAGGAGACAUUUCAGGUGGGAGGCGAGAUUUGUCAAAUCGCUAUUCAGCACCUGUUAUAGGAGGCCAGAAGAUCGAUGUUGAAAAGUUUGAUGGGAAAAUCAACUUCGGCAUGUGGAGGCGCGAAGUUAUGGAUGCCCUUAUUCAAAUCGAUCUCGAUGUUGUCCUGAAAAAUAAAAGACACUUGUAUGAUGAAGAAAUUUGGGAUCGUAUGAACGAGAAAGCCUGUGGUCAGAUCAGAUCUUGUUUGACCAAGGAGGUGAAAUACUUGGUGAAAGAUGAGGAGUGUGCAGUGACUUUGUGGCGUACAUUGGAAGAGAAGUACCUGGUGAAAAGUCCUGAAAAUCGUCUUCAUGCAAUGAGCCAAGUAUAUGGCUUUCGAAUGAAGUCUGGGGUGUCAAUGCACGAUCAUGUUUCAAGAUUUAAAAAGUUACUUGCUGAUUUGAAGAAUCUUGAUGAAGAUAUUAAAGAUGAAGUCAAUGCUAUGAUUCUGUUACACUCACUACCAGAGGAAUAUAGCCAUUUUGUGACUACUUUGAUAUAUGGGAAGAGUGUGAUCGUCUUUAAAGAUGUUUGCACAGCAUUGACUAGUUUGGAGAUUCGGAAUAAUGAUAAAAAUUCUGAACGAGCAUCGUCUGAAGCUUUGGUGAGCAGAGAUUGGGCGAUGGAGAAAAAGAUAAAUGGUGGUGGAAAGAAUUCUCGAUCCAAAUCGAGAAGCAGAAAUAUAGCUCGAGAUGAGUGUGCCUUUUGUCAUGAAAAGGGCCAUUGGAGGAAAGAUUGUCCAAAGGCUCAAAAGAGAGAUGGGAAAAAACCAGCAUCAGCAAACAUGGCACGGAAAGAUGAGGACUCUGAUUAUUCACUAAGUAUCACUCCUGCAGCAUAUGUGGCUAGUUCGAGUGAGUGGAUACUUGAUACUGGAGCAACCUAUCAUUUGUGUCAUAUUAAGGAAUGGUUUACGGAUUUUCGUAAUCUGGAAUCCGGUGCAGUUAUGAUGGGGAAUAAUCAACCUUGUCGCACAAUGGGGAUAGGAACAAUUCGGCUCAAAAUGUUUGAUGGAAUGGUCAGAGAACUCAAAGAGGUUAGAUUUGUUCCAGAGAUAAAGAAAAAUCUAAUUUCUGUGGGUGCUUUGGAAGCUAAAGGUUACAAAGUUACCAUUGAAGAUGGCACAAUGAAGUUUACACAUGGGGCUAUGGUGAUUCUGCAAGGGGUUCGGCGUCACAAUCUGUACUAUUUGAAAGGAGGUACAACUGAUGAAGCAAAUGUUGUUGAGGCGCACAGUGACACCACCAAGCUAUGGCAUGUACGACUGGGACAUGCAGGAGAGAAGUCUUUGCAAACUCUGAUGAGGCAUGGACUCUUAAAAGGUAUCAAAACCUGUAAAUUAAAUUUCUGUGAGCAUUGUGUAGUAGGCAAAAAAACAAGGGUCAAGUUUGGUACAGCUAAUCACGAUACUCGUGAGAUCCUUGAAUAUGUUCAUAGUGAUGUAUGGGGACCAACCAAGACUGCAUCAAUUGGUGGAAGCCAUUAUUUUGUUAUAUUUGUUGAUGAUUUCUCUAGACGUGUAUGGGUGUACACCAUGCGAGCAAAGGAUGAGGUUCUAGAGAUUUUCGUGAAGUGGAAGAAAUUGGUGGAGACUCAAACUGGCAGAAAGAUCAAAGUAUUACGAUCUGAUAAUGGGGGUGAAUAUACUUCUGAUCCAUUCUUGCAAGUAUGCCAGAACGAGGGUAUUAAAAGACAUUUCACAGUGAGACAUACUCCGCAACAGAACGGUGUGGCUGAGCGUAUGAAUCGUACUUUACUGGAGAAGGUACGAUGUAUGUUAUCUAAUGCUGGUUUAGAUAAAAAGUUUUGGCCUGAAACUGUGAGCUACGCAAGUCACUUGGUAAAUCGGUUGCCUUCUGCUGCAAUUGGAGGUAAAACUCCUAUGGAAAUGUGGUUUGGAAAGCAUGCACAAGACUAUGAUUCCCUUCGUGUAUUCGGGUGUCCAGCUUAUUAUCAUGUCAAAGAUGGUAAACUGGAUCCUCGUGCUAGAAAAUCUAUCUUUGUGGGAUUCAAAGGUAGAGUAAAGUGCUUCAAGCUUUGGGAUCUCGAAGACAAAAAGUUUGUGUGUAGCAGAGAUGUCACAUUUGAUGAAGCUUCAAUGAUAAAAGCUUCAAGUUCUCAGCAGGUGGAGAACAAGACCACAUAUGUAUUGCAGCGGGUGGAGUUUGAUGCAACUCCAUAUGUACCAGUUAGUUCUACAUCAAAGAAUGGUUCAACUAUGGAGGUGACACCUAAAGUUGAAGAAGAGGUUGUUUCUUCUGAUGUCCCACAAAAUGAAGAAACAAUUGAUGAUGUAGAUGAUGAUGAUUUUAUAGCAACAAGGAGGCCAAGAAGAGAGAUAAAGAAACACGGAUGGCUUACUAAAGAUAUGGUGGUAGCCUAUGCACUUUCAGUUAUUGAUGAUGACAUCCCCAAUACUUUCGGUGAAGCAUUACGCAGUAAUGAAAGUGAUCAGUGGAAGCUAGCCAUGGAGGAAGAGAUGAAAUCUCUCCAUCAAAACCAGACUUGGGAACUUGUAAAGUUACCAAAGGGGAAAAGGGCUAUUGGCAAUAAAUGGGUCUACACCAAAAAGCAAGGAUCUCCGAAUCAAACAACUCCUCGAUACAAGGCAAGGCUCGUGGCAAAAGGUUUUGCUCAAAAGGAAGGUAUUGACUACAAUGAAGUUUUGUCUCCAGUUGUAAAACAUACUUCCAUUCGUAUCCUACUUGCCUUAGUUGCAGAAUAUGAAUUAGAGUUGGCUCAGUUGGAUGUUAAGACGGCGUUCUUACAUGGAGAUUUGGAGGAGGAAAUCUACAUGAUUCAGCCUUGUGGUUUUAGAGUUGCUGGAAAGGAGAAUCAUGUGUGUAGGUUGAUUAAAUCUUUGUACGGACUGAAGCAAUCGCCAAGGCAGUGGUAUAAAAGAUUUGAUCAAUUUAUACAAGGGCAGAAAUUCACCAGAAGUGAACACGAUCAUUGUGUUUACUUUAGAAGACUACCAGAUAGAGCUUUCAUCUAUUUGCUACUCUAUGUCGACGAUAUGCUUAUAGCUUCGAAGAAUAGAGAUGAGAUCGAAAGAUUAAAGAAGCAGCUGGCUUCUGAGUUCGAGAUGAAAGACUUGGGUGAUGCACAGAGAAUACUUGGGAUGGAGAUUUGUAGAGACAAGAAGAAUGGGAGCGUAUGGUUGACUCAAAAGUCUUAUUUGAAGAAAGUGCUAGAAAGAUUCGGUAUGGAUGACAAAACUAAACCGGUAUGUACACCUCUAGCUCCUCAUUUCAAAUUAGGCUCUUCUUCAUGUCCUAAAUCUCAAGAGGAGCGCGAUUACAUGGCUCGUGUUCCAUAUGCUAGUGCUGUGGGUAGUCUUAUGUAUGCUAUGGUAUGUACAAGGCCCGAUAUAUCUCAAGCAGUAAGCAUGGUUAGUAGAUACAUGCACGAUCCGGGUAAAAGUCACUGGCUUGCAGUAAAGUGGAUUCUUCGAUAUCUGUAUGGGACAGUUGAUGUUGGGUUAUUGUUCAAGAAGGAUUGUGGUCAACAAUGUGUUGGCUAUUGUGAUUCUGAUUUCGCUGGAGACCUUGACAAGCGAAGAUCAACAACGGGCUACGUAUUCACAUUGGGUGGAGGUCCAGUUAGCUGGAGGUCAAUUUUGCAAUCGACAAUUGCUCUGUCCACUACGGAAGCAGAGUACAUGGCAACAACUGAAGCUGUAAAGGAAGCUAUCUGGUUGAAAGGCUUGUUAGGUGAUUUGGGAGUAAUCCAGGAGAACAUUACGGUCUUCUGUGAUAAUCAAAGUGCGAUAUUCCUUGCGAAGAAUCAAACAUAUCACGCUCGGACAAAGCACAUAGAUGUGAAAUAUCAUUAUGUGAGAGAGAUUAUCGAGAGCGAUGUUGUGUUGUUGAGAAAGAUCGAUACCAAAGAUAAUCCAUCAGAUAUGUUGACGAAGGUAGUUUCUGGAGUUAAGUAUCAACAUUUCUUGAAAUUAAUUCAAAUCCUUCGAUUGUGUUAAAGAUAUGUCCUUCGGGAAUUUUGAACUACGGUUGGCUUGAUCCCAAAUUUUGGGUACGUAGGCAGUCGAAACGACACAGCCAUUCUGGAUCCUUAUUGAAGGAUCACUUUGGGGAUGAGGGUUCGUUGGUAGUCGGCUCAGAUUUGGACAAAUUUUCGCCGAGGUGGAGAAUUGUUGAAAAGUCAUGCACGUGACAUUGAAAUUCAAAAAUGAAUGCAAAAUUUCAAAUGGCUACCAAACAUUUGAAGAAAAAAUGGAAAGUUGGCAAAUUUGUCAAAUUUGCCAAAUGGACACCAUUGACUAUUGGCUUAGGUUAUGUGGAAUAGUAAAAGGGUUGGUGCAAUAGUGCCAUUAUUUUCCCUAUAAAUAGAUGGCACUUCUUCCAUUCUAAAUCAUCCCAAAAUUGUUAAGCUUAUAAGUUUCUAAGCUUUUGAGAGAAGUGAGAGAAGUGUCUGAGGAAUUUAUCUUUCCUGCAGAGUGUGAGAGUACUGGGUAUAUUUGGGUUUCUGGGAAGUGAGAUUCGUUACUCAAAUAUUGUAUUCUAUUAAUUGUUAAAUAAACAAUUAUUCUUUCUUGCCUUCGUGGAUGUAGGUUUAAUUACCGAACCACGUAAAUUCUUGUGUCCUUUAUUUUUCAGUAAUUAUUUGGUGCGCUUGAUUCCGCAUUCCGCGCACAACAACACACACACACGUAGCUUGCACUAAUUAAUUAAUAAGCUGAGAGAUAACCAAGCUACCGAUACAUAACCUUGUAAACAGGACCAUAUCCACCCUCCCCGAGCUUAUUUUCAAUUAAAAAUCUAUCCGUGGCCACCUCAAUAUCAGCCAAGCUAUAUUCUCUCAGAUCAGGAUCAUUGCUGUUAAAAUCUCCAGCAUCCGCUUGUCUAUUUUCGCUGUCCUUUGAUGCUUUGGCUGAGUCAAUUACGGUCCAAUUAAUAUCAACCAAGAGAAAGAAAGCUAAUUUAAGUGAAUCGCCCACUUCUUCAUCUGUGUUAAAUGGAAUAGAAGUAAAAAUAUUCCUAAUCCCGUGUAGAAGAAGUUACCUUUUAAUUUGAGGUUUUUCAUCCAGCAGUAGUAAUACAGCAAAAAGCCUAUUAGAAGAAUACAAGCUGCAGUUAUAGGCAAAACAAUUGCCCAUAAUAGCCGCUUAUUUUGUCGAUUCCUUUCAUCCUCUUCAGCUGAAAAGUCAAAUCACUUUGUGUUAUUUAACCACUGAUGGUCAAAUAAAGAUCUUAAUUGAAGUCAUUAUGCAGAGAACUGAUCGAAUGGGUAGCAGGCAGUGAGUGAGGCUUUGCAUUUGCUUACCUGCAGCUUGAGAAAGCAUCCAAUAAUGAUCACUGGAAACUUGCCACACAUAGUAACCACGUAGCUUCUUUUCCUUGGCAUAUGCAACCUUCACUCUAACAGCCUCGACAUCAUCAAAACCAAACCAAAUCUUCCCAAUCGAGCAGUAAUUCACGACAUAAGUUGAAUUGUACAUUACUUGAACAUUAGGACGAUAGUUCUUGAUGUGAUUCUUGACUUCCUUAUAAGUCACAAGGCCAUCAUCAUGCAAAGCUGGUCCUGUUGUUGCUGCGCCAAUGCCAUUGUCCUCAGGUUUCACAAGCGUCCAUGCAUAGCCAUAAAAAGGCAAACAUAAAACCAAUUUAUCAGCCGAUAACCCUUCCUCAAUCCAUUCCGUGAUUCCAUAUUCAGUAUUAGAGACACUAUUUGGAUCAUACAGAGCCGCAUGAGCACCAGUAAAAUUUUUCCGCGUAGGGCUUGAGUAUUCGGUAGUGAUAACAUGAACCCAAUUCAAGUACUGUCUUAUCGAGUCGACUGGAUAAGCUGCUGCUGUUGAGAGUGGUGAAUAUGCGACCUUUGCUGUCAAAAUCAACUGUGAUUGGCUCGAGUUAUUUCUUGCUUCUAAAGCAACGGCAGCUCGCCAUUCUUUUAAAGAGAAUGCCAAUAUUGUACUUAUCCCAGUUUGUGUUUGCCUGAUUCCAAGACAGAUCUAAGCCUUGAAAGCCAUAAAGCCUUGCUAUUUUUAUUGAGGAGUCAAUAAAGUAUUUCCUGAAAGAAGGAUUGCCCGCCAUGGAAGAAUAACUUGAAUAGUUUGGAUUAUUGCCUCCUCCGAUGGAAAGAAGAGUAGUGAUUGAUGGGUUCUUUAUUUUGACAGUGUCUGUGAAGUUGGAGAAUUGUUUUUCAUCAGAAGGUGAUAAAGAAAGCUCAUAGGAAGUUGAGUUGACAUCGGCAAAACCACACAUAAGGUGAGUGAAAAGAGCAGAAUUUACAUCUGAAACGGGGAACCCACCGUCUGAAUCCCAGUAACCAGCUCUGAUUAAAGUUUGUGCCCUUGCAGGAAGCGAUUCUGAAAAUAUAAAAAUGUAGAGUACAAGAAUGAUAAUUUUGGAUGCCAUUGUGGGAACCUUGCUGCUUUGAGGCAAACCUAGUAUGUGAUUACAUAUAUAUGUACAGACACAAAAUGUAAUGGAGAAAAUAUCCGACACCGAUUGAGAUUUGUUAUUGGACUAUAAUACAAACUUGAGGCAACUUUCAACUCAUGAGCUUAGCUCAUAAGUCUUUAUACGGUAUCAAAGUCAAGUUUCGAAAGAGUGACUCUAUACUACCUUUCAAUUUAACAAAGAGAAAGAAAAGAGAUCAGCCUACACGUGGUAGGAAGAUAGAAAAAGUAUAUCACAUUGGCUAAGAUUAAUUACUAGGUUGAUAAUAUAAGCUCAAAACAACAUUUAACUGUUGCGGAAAUGUGGGUUGAGCAAUUACUAAUACUGCAACUUCUGAAGAAAUAUAAAUGUGGUGUUAAACAAAUGCAAAGAAAAUAUAACACAAUGAUUUACGUGGUUCGGCGUAAUGCUUACAUCCACAGGCAAAAACUAAAAGAUAAUUUUACUAACAAUGAAAAUUUACAAAAGUGAGAAAAAUUCACAAAACCCACAACCCCAAUACACCCAAAUGAAACCUAACUAGAACACUCAAAUGGAAGCUCUCGUAAAUUCUCUCAAAGAACUCACUUGCAAUUGCUCUCUCCAUUUCUUUCAAAUUGGGAUGAUUUACAAAUGCAUUUUGCUUCUCUAUUUAUAGGCAAAGCAUGCUCACCCACCACACGGCUUCAAUUUGACUUUAAUUGGCUAAAUUGACAAAUUUGGCAAUUGGUGCCAAAUUUGUCAUGCAAUGCAUGCUAGCUGUUCCAUGCCAUUUAUUCAAUUUGCAUAUUUUCAAAACCUAACUUUGCUUUUUUGAAAUUGGUAAGCCGACCAUUUGACUUUUCAACAUCAACUCCAUAACAAGCUGUAAUUUAAUAAAGUUAGGUCAACUCGAUAUUUUAUAUAGUACGUCAUGAGUGAGGAGGAGUUUAAGCUACAAAUCGCAGUCAUGAGUGAGGACAAAUUUGAUUCUCUCAAGAUUUUGCGUUUUGUACACGUUGAUCAUGGACUGAAUCAAAAUAGAAAAUAUUUUCACAGGAGUUUGCCUUCAAAUUGCACGAAUGGAACCAUAGAGGAAUACAUCGAAAAGUUUGUCUUCUUGCCAUGAUGUUAAGUGAGAAGAUUGAAGUUCUUAAAUUAAGCUAUGACGUUUUACCUCCACUUAGCUUGACUUCUGAAGCUGAAGACUCAUCCUUUUGCAUUGACUUUGUUGGUAUUUAAAUGACCUCGGAGUCUUGGACGUGUUUCUGAAGCAAUGUCAUGGUCUAUGAGUAGAUUUUAUUUUUUGGGUAAGAAAGGGAAAGUCUGUCGUUAGGAAAACAUCCUGACAACGAGAUGGUGAGAGGGGAUGAAAAAGAAAUUAUACACUUAGUUACUUCCUCAUGAUAAGAUUCAGUGGUAUUGUAAUUUUAAUAAAAAAUUAAGACCAUUUUGCCUUUUUCCUUGUGUAAUUUAAUUUUCAGUCAAGACCACCCUCCCAUUUUAGUACAGGGAAAUUAUCAUUUGUAUAUUCUUAGUUUACUCCAUUAUCAAAAAUAUUACAACACUUUGAGGGUGUAUCAAUCGUCUACCCUAAGUUGACAAAAUGUAUUAGCUGACCACCAAACCGUUAGUUGCCGUUUAAGUAUGAUGAUAUCAGAAGGGUAAUUUGGUUUUUUCAUAUGAUACAAGUGAUAAUUUAAGGGUAUACAAGUGAUAAAAAGAGAAUUUAAGGGUAUACAAGUGAUAAUUUUCAAGGGUAAAAUCGUCAAUUCACUGUAAUUCCGUUAACUUUCAAACGGCAACUAACGGUUUGGUGGUCGGCUGAUACAUUUUGUCAACUAAGGGUGGACGAUUGAUACACCCUCAAAGUGUUGUAGUAGUUUUGAUAACAGAGCAAAUAUAAGGUAUACGAAUGAUAAUUUUCCUUUAGUAUAAAAGCCUAUACAAAUGUACGUUUUACUCAAUGUUUACAUAGAAACAAAUGGCGCGAAGACGAUUUGUCAAUCUAGUACCACUCUCGUAUACUUGGUAAGAUUUGGCUUCACCAAAUUGUAGCCUAUAUUUUACUUUAAUGAGAAAAUCAAAUAAUAUAUGUUUGAACAAAUAAUUUUCUUUGCUCUAUAUACUUUCUUAAAAUGUAUGGAGUGGGUAAAGUAUAAAUUGAUCUCUUAGCCCGUUGACUCCUCCAAAAUUCAAACUCAAUUUAAUGGUAAGUUAAAUAAUGCUACUUGAAAAUCAUUCCACCAAAUAUCAUAAAAACUAUAAUUAAGUUUCACUGAUUAUUGAAUUAUAGAAUGUGCUAUCAUUUCCUAGCUAGAAUUUGUUUAAUUCUAUUAAUUUACAAUCAUUUUUAUUUUAUUUAAUUAAUUAAAGUGAAUUUAUUAUGUAUAAGUUCUAUAUAUGUAAAAUUUUAAAAUCUAAUGUUGAAUUGAAUUGUACUGAACUUUUUAUAAUUUUUUAUCACGCCUGCAAAUUUAACAGUUUUGUAUUAAUAUUGAUAGCACAUAAUAUAUAGGAUUAAGAGAGAUUGGUUUCGAGUUGCUACAAGCAUUUUGGGAUUGCAUGCACAAGGGUUUAUAAACAAAGGGUGCAAUUAAUUACCCCAAACGAGGGUGCAUUUUUAUGAUGAAAUAAAAACUACGUGCGGGGUUGUAAAAGUGGCUCCAUAAUUAAUGUACAUUAACAUUCAUCUAGCUAUCACCUCCGAAAAUGAUACAGCAUAAGCCGAGCAUUUUUCCAAUUGUGUUGUAGAUAAUAGUUCAAUCCCAAUUUCAUCAACUUGUUUUGAGAAAGGAGGCUUCUUGGGAGUAUUAAUAUUUGUGGUUCCAUUCUUGAGCAUUGAGGAAACUUCCAGCAUUGAAGGUCGGUCGUUUGGAUUCUCCUGGACACACAACAAAGCUAUUUCCAGACAUCUCAUUAAUUUACAAGGGGAAUUUGUAUUGUCUAGGAAUGAAUCCACAAACUCCACGCCUUUGCCACCUUUCCACAACUGAUAUGCCUGAAAUUAUCAAGUACCAUCUCGUUACAUAAUUUAUACUUCUUAAUUAAGUGCGCAUAUGUGUACUCAGGGUUACUAUAGCCGAAGAAACUUACGUGCUCUAGAAUGCUUAAAUUUUCAUUGAUGCCACAUAACACUGAAAGCCUCUUUCCACUUAUGAUUUGUAGAAGUAAAACUCCGAAACUAAAAACGUCUGAUUUGGUAGAGUAUACACCUUGUCUGGCGUACUCAGGAGGAAUAUAGCCUCUGCAUUCAAAAUAACCAAGUAUAUAUGAGUAAGGGAUUUUGCAAUUUAAUAAAUUUGUAAAACCCAUUUUAAAUUGUGGUAAAAGUCCAUUCCGCAUUUUAUUAAAGUGCUGAAUUCCUUAUUCGAAACCCAAUAUAUGUAUAACAAACAGAAGCUUGAGUAAAGGAUAUCAUUUAGUUGUGAUAUACUUACAUUGUUCCCACAACUUGUUCUGAUUCGCGUCGAGACUCUCUUUUGCAAAAAUUCUAGCCAUACCAAAAUUUGAAAUUUUAGGUUUCAUAUCUUGACCUAACAAAACAUUACUGGCUUUCAAGUCUCGAUGAAUAAUAGUCAGUCUUGAGUAUUCUUGGAGGUAUAAAAGUCCUUGAGUUAUCCCUUCAAUGAUAUGAACAUGUUUUUUCCAAUCCAAAAGAAGUCUUCUGAUGGGAUCUACAACAAAUAUAUAGUUUUGGACAAUAAGUGAUAUACAAGCGAAUUAUAUACACAAUUGAUAUUAACUUGAUUUCAGAACAAACCAAAAAGGUAGCAAUCCAAGCUUUUGUUUGGCAUGUAUUCGUAGACCAGCAUCCGUUCCUCACUGUCAAUGCAAAAACCUAAAACUCUAAUAAGAUUUACAUGUUGGAGUUUUGCAGUAAGAAUAACCUCAUUCUUAAACUCCUCAAAUCCCUGUGCGGAUGAUUUCGAAAGUUUCUUCACUGCUAUCACCACUCCACAGGGUAAUACACCCUGCAACCCAAAAAAAAACCACGUUCAUAUAAAGCUUUCACUAAUUAGAGACGCUGAGAAAUGUUAGCCAAACAAUAUGCUACCCCCCAAAGUUGAGGGCACCAUUUUAAGUCCUUUAGUCCCCAUGGACGCAAAAUGUAAAUCUCCUCUCACAGAAUAUGGAUAUGGGUAGAGGUAUCUUCCUCAAAUGUUAGUCAAAGUAGUUAUAUCCCUCUAGUGUGAGGUUAAAGGUCUCAUCUCUAAUAGGCAUAGAGUUUUAAAUUAUAUGUUUUGGGCCUCUGAAUUCUACGACGAGUGUACAAAUUCAAACUUCCGAUAGGAUCCAAAUUGCAACAUUGUGGAUUGUAACAAAUUAAAAUAUAGGUACACACACACACACACAUGUUACCUUGUAAACAGGACCAUAUCCACCCUCCCCAAGGUUAUUUCUAAUUGAAAAUCCCUCGGUGGCCGCCUCAAUAUCAGCCAAACUAUAUACUCUGAGAUUAGGAACAUUUCUGUUAAAGUCUCCAGCUUCUGUUUCAUUAUUUUCUCUCGUGUUUGAUGCUUUAGCAGAAUCCUCUGUUCCUAACAUCAACCAAGAGUAAAUAUUAGAUAAUUAAUUGUAUGUCAGCCUAAGUUUUAUAUAUAUAUGAAAUGCAUGCUUAAUUAUAAUUGGUAGCUGAAGCUUGUUACCUUCUAUUAACUUGAGCCUUUUCAUCUGGUUGUAUUUAUAUGCACAACAACUUAGAAGGAGAGUCAAAGCUGCCGCUGCAGUCGAAAUGAGUACCAAGGACAGAUGGCGGUUAUUACUAUGUUCAUCUUUGUCAGCUGAAGCAGAAGUAAUCCUGUCUUUUUGUGCUGGAAAUAUGUAUAGUUCAGCAAUUAAUAAUAACUAGCUAGAGAUGCCAUAACAAUCAUUAUUAAUCAGAGAGAACAAUUAUUGCAUAGAUAAAUACCUGCAGCUUGAGAAAGUACCCAAUUAUGAUCGUCAUAAUCAACUCGCCAAACAUAGUAACCAAGAAAUCUCUUCUCUUUGGCAUAGGCGAUCUUAGCUCUAACAGCCUCCACAUCAUCAAAACCAAACCAAAUCGUCCCAGUGGAGAAGUAAUUCACCACAUAAGUUGAAUUGUACAUAACUUGAACAUUAGGACCAUAGGUCUUGAUGUGAUUCUUGAUAUCCCUAUAGGUCACAAGGCCACCAUUACUCAUAGCUGGUCCUGCUGCUGCUACUCCAAUACCAUUGUCUUCAGGUUUCACAAGCGUCCAUGCAUAGCCGUAGAAAGGCAAACACAAAACCAACUUAUCAGCCAAUAACCCUCUCUAAAUCCAUGCCCUUAAAACCUGAUCAGUACUGUCAAAGAAGCUCAUAAUGCAUGGAAGGAUGCAGCACACGUGUGAGAUGAAUAUAGUCAGCUGAAUCAAUUGAAGAGUGGAGUGCCAGCUCAGCUGAAGUUAGUUAGACACGUUAAGAUCAAGUUUUAGUUAGUUCUUCAUUUUCUGUUAAGCUGAAAAACAGCUGAGUAUAAAUACAAGCAUAUUGUAAUCAUUUUGAGGUUAAGUAAAAAUAAAAUAAAGCAUUUGAUUCCAGAAUUUCUUUUACAAAUUUUCUUAGCACUUUAGAUACAUUUUCUCAGUAACCAAACAGUUUGUUCAUUCAAGCUUUUAAGCUUUCAAACAUGGUAUCAGAGCCUUACAGAGCUAGUUCCAGUAAUCAACAGUCAAGCCUUCGUAAUCAAACAACAAACAACACAAAUCAACCUACUCAAAUCAACUUCUCUUUUUCUAAUCCUAUCAAGCUAGAUCGAUCCAAUUACUUACUCUGGCGUUCUCAAGUUUUGGCCUCAAUAAGAGGCAAUCGUUUGGAAGAUUUCGUCACAAGAGCCAGAUCAGUACCUGAUAAGUGUCUUCUGUUAACUGAAGCAGAUGGAUCUACACAACAAGUUGAAAAUCCAGAAUAUCAGAUCUGGAGAUCACAGGAUCAGACACUUCUUGGCUGGCUACUGUUGUCAUUAAGUGAAGGUAUCUUAAGUCUUGUAAUCAAUUGUGAGAGUUCAUUUGAUAUAUGGAAAACUUUGGAAAAGAAAUUUGGAGUUCAAUCUGAAGCUCGAGUUCUUCAGCUCAGAUACGAACUAAACACUCUUAAAAAGGAAGCCCUUAGUGUUGAAGAUUAUUGUAUUAAAAUGAAAGCAAUAGCAGAUAAGCUGGCCAGUGCUGGUAGUUCAAUUACAGAGAAGGAUCUUAUGCUAACUAUUCUUAAUGGAUUAGGAUCAUGAUAUCGUGAUAUUGCUACAUUUAUAACUGGUUCACGAAUGGAGUUUGAUGAUGCUUAUGCACUGUUACUCACUCAUGAGACUAGAUUAGAGCAGGAGCAAGGUGACAAAAGUAUGUUUAAUGCAAACUAUGCAUACACAAAUGCAUAUUAUCCUAGAGCUUAUUUUGCACAGCCUAGAAGAAGUUUUAAACGAGGAGGUUAUUCUGGUGGUAGAACUCCUUUCUUUGGCAGAGGAAAUAUGAAUUACUCUCCAAGAAUGUUUAAUGGAGGCUUUAGAAAUGGAUAUGGCAGAGGAUUUUUUCCUGGAAAUAACUCAACUGAUUUCAAUCAUUUUCCAGCUCCUAGGAAUCCAGUACCUAGGAACUCAUCUUUUCCAGCUAGAAAUGGAUCUGCUAACAUGAGUGGAUCACAAGGAAGUUUUAAUAAUGCUGGAGAGAUGACAUGUCAGAUUUGUUUUAAGAAUGGCCAUACUGCUGAUGUCUGUUGGCACAGAUUUGUUGAAGAUUUUGUACCUGUUCCAAGAGGUUUUGGCAAGGGAAGAACACCAAGAGCAGCAUAUUUAUCAAACUUUGAUGGCUCCAUUUCUAAUCCAGAUUUUGGCUAUGAAAAUCUUAAUACUAUGUUUCCAGGUUAUGACUCUAUAUCUGGCAAUAGCUACUAUUCUGGAAUGGAUGGAUACACUUCUGGAGCAGCUAGAACAGCUUUCAUGGCAAAUUUUGAAGGGACUGCUGAUGAUGGAUGGUAUCUGGAUAGUGGGGCAACUCACCAUUUAACCAACAAUAUGGAGAAUUUGCAGAUCAAUGAAGAGUUUAAAGGUACUGAUUAGCUUAUCAUUGGAAAUGGUCAAGGUUUGUCUAUUACUCAUGUUGGACAUGCAUUUCUGGUAUUAAGAGCUUCUAAACCCUUAUCUACACAUGCUAGAAUAAAACUUAAAGAUAUGUUACUUGUCCCUUCAAUUACCAAAAAUCUAUUAAGUAUUUCUAAACUCACAUCUGAUAACCCUUUAUCUGUUGAAUUCUGUGGAAAUGCUUGUUUUGUGAAGGACAUGAAGGGUCAAGUUCUUCUGCAGGGUAUUGCUGAAAAAGGCCUUUACAAGCUGCUGCUGAACUCAAAUUCUCUUUCUUCAUCACCUACAUCUUAUCUUUGUAAAUCCCAGCCAAAUAAACUAGUCUCUAUGUUGUCUGCUUUCAAACACUCUGAUAAUGGUACUCGAGCUUGUUUUCAGUUUGUUUUAAAUAAGUGUAAUGCCAAACCUAAUGUAAUAACUUUGUUACAUAGAAAGUUUGGUCAUCCAAGCUCAAUGACAUUGAUGCAUUUGCUCAAAUCAUGUAAACAGUUUAAAGUCUCUCCAAAAGACAUGUUAUCUUCUGCAAGUACUUUAUGUGAAGCAUGUCAGCUAGGCAAAGUCCAUAAGCAACAUUUCUCAAUAACCGAAACAAAAACAAAAGAGGUAUUAGAAUUGAUCCAUACUGAUCUUUGGGGGCCUUCACCCACUGUGUCUAGAGAUGGAUACAAAUAUUACAUUAGUUUUGUGGAUGAUUACACUAGGUACUCUUGGAUCUAUCCUCUUAAGCUCAAAUCACAAGCAUUUGAAGUUUUCAAAUUGUGCAAAACUCAAGUUGAAAAUCAGUUUGAUACCAAAAUUAAGAUGCUACAAUCUGACCUUAGGGGAGAGUUUAGAGCAUUUACUGAUUUUCUCAAUCAAAAUGGAAUAAUCUUUAGGCACUCAUGUCCUUACAUCCAUCACCAGAAUGGUCUUGUUGAGAGGAAGCACAGGCAUAUAGUUGAACUAGGAUUAACCCUCAUGGCUCAAGCAAAUCUUCCUCUUCAAUUCUGGUGGGAAGCUGUUCAUACAGCAGUGUAUCAUAUUAAUAGAUUGCCUACCCCUGUUCUGAAAUUCUUAUCUCCUUAUGAGAAACUUUUCAAACACAAACCAGAUUACACAUUUCUAAAGUGUUUUGGUUGUCUUUGUUAUCCAUACUUGAGAGACUUUAACAAACAUAAGUUUGAUUUUCACACUUCUAAAUGCAUUUUUAUUAGAUACAAUCCCUCUUAUAAAGGAUACAAAUGCUUAGCAAGUUUUGGUAAAGUCUAUGUUCUUAGACAUGUCAUUUUUUAUGAAACACAUUCCCUUAUCCAAUAAACAUUGCAUUCUCAACAGAAAAUCACAUAUCUUCUAAAACCUCAGUGUCUAAUUUCUCUCAGCAACAUAUCUAUCAUCUUUCUACAAUAGCCUUACUCAACAGCAGCUUUGAAGGUCUUCAGUCAGCAAGCUCAGCAAGAAAUGAACAAAUGCCCUUUGGUCCCACACAUACAGAUGUUUUGAAUCAACAAGAACAUCCAUCACACACAUCCUUAGAGUUAUCAUCCUCAACCUCACCAUCACCAAACACAUUACUAAUGCAAUCAUCCAUUCUACAACCAGAGGAAACUUCUUCACAGAAUAUAGACCAAAUUCAAACCAGAAAUCAUUCCCAACCAUCUUCUCAUCCAAUGAUUACCAGAUCGAAAUCUGGAAUCUUCAAACCAAAGGUCUAUACAGUCACCUUAGCCAACAAAGAACCCAGUACAGUUCAAGAAGCUCUUAGUAGUCAGAAUUGGCAUCAAGCCAUGGUAGAUGAGUAUGAAGCUUUGAUGAAGAAUAAGACUUGGUCACUGGUACCAUUUUCAAAUGCAUACAAAGUAGUUGACAACAAAUGGGUGUUUAGACUCAAGCAAAAUACUGAUGGAAGCAUAGCCAAACACAAGGCCAGAUUGGUUGCCAAAGGUUUUCAGCAAACUGAAGGUGUGGAUUACUUUGAGACAUUUAGCCCAGUUGUAAAAGCUUCAACAGUGAGGAUUGUUUUGAGUUUAGCUGUGAUGCAUAAAUGGAAAAUAAGGCAAGUGGAUGUGAAUAAUGCCUUUUUGAAUGGAGAAUUGACAGAGGAUGUCUAUAUGUAUCAGCCUGAAGGUUUUAUUGAUCAACAAAAACCUAAUCAUGUAUGCAAGCUGAAGAAGGCCUUGUAUGGCUUAAAGCAAGCUCCUAGAGCUUGGUAUGACAAGCUUAAGAAUUGUCUGAUUGCUAAUUGGAAAUUUCAGAAUUCAAAGGCUGAUACCUCUCUUUUCUUCAAAGAAGUGCAGGGCUCAAUGAUACUCAUCUUAAUCUAUGUAGAUGACAUUCUAAUGACAGGACCUGACAAUGGUGAACUGGAGAAAUUCAUCUCAAAAUUCAGUAAGACUUUUGCUUUAAAAGACUUGGGAAUUCUGUCAUAUUUUCUAGGAAUAGAAGUGUCCUAUGCUGAAGAUUGCAUCUAUCUAUCUCAGAAGAAAUAUAUCUUGGAUUUGUUAUCCAAAGCUAAUAUGCAAAAUUGUAAAGGCUGUGACACUCCCAUAGUUACUGGAUCAAAGCUUCAGAAAGAAGUCACAGGCUGUUUGGGUCAAUAUAUUGAGGAUGCAACAAGCUAUAGAAGCUUAGUUGGAGGUUUACAAUAUCUAGUAUUAACCAUACCAGAGAUAGCAUUUGCUGUGCAUAAGUUGAGCCAGUAUGUGACAGCUCCAACACUCCAGCAUGUUAUGGCUUGUAAAAGAGUUCUUAGAUACCUCAAGGAGACUGCAGAUUAUGGUUUGAAGUUUUCAGCAGGUGGGGAAAUGAAGAUCACAGGAUUUACAGAUGCAGAUUGGGCAUGUGAUGUUGAUGACAGAAAAUCAAUAGGAGCCUAUUGCAUUUAUUUUGGAAGCAAUCUAAUUUCCUGGUCAUCCAAGAAGCAGGCUGUGGUUACACGAUCCAGUGCAGAGAGUGAAUAUCGUGCUCUUGCUUCUGCAAGUGCAGAGAUAACAUGGAUCCAGUCGUUAUUCAAUGAACUUAGCAUUAAGUGUACUUCAUUACCAACUAUCUGGUGUGACAAUAUAAGUGCAACAGAGUUGGCCAAGAAUCCAGUUUAUCAUUCAAGGACUAAACACAUUGAACUGGAUAUGCACUUUAUUAGAGACAAGGUUUUGGCAAAGGAGUUAGAGAUUAACUAUAUUCCCAGCGAGGAGCAAAUUGCUGAUGCUUUGACAAAGCCUCUGACAUUUAUUCAUUUCAACUAUUUCAGAGCCAAACUCAAUGUGCAACCAUGCCCCUUGAGUUUGAGGGGGACUGUCAAGGAAGCUCAUAAUGCAUGGAAGGAUGCAGCACACGUGUGAGAUGAAUAUAGUCAGCUGAAUCAAUUGAAGAGUGGAGUGCCAGCUCAGCUGAAGUUAGUUAGACACGUUAAGAUCAAGUUUUAGUUAGUUCUUCAUUUUCUGUUAAGCUGAAAAACAGCUGAGUAUAAAUACAAGCAUAUUGUAAUCAUUUUGAAGUUAAGUAAAAAUAAAAUAAAGCAUUUGAUUCCAGAAGUUCUUUUACAAAUUUUCUUAGCACUUUAGAUACAUUUUCUCAGUAACCAAACAGUCUGUUCAUUCAAGCUUUUAAGCUUUCAAACAAGUACUUCUAGCAUAGCCGCCGCUACUUGAGCCAUACAGAGCCGCAUGUGCCUCGGUGAAGUUUGUUGACAUAGGCUCGUAGUAUUCAGCUGUAACAACAUGAACCUAAUUCAAGUUUCGUUGCAUCGAUUUCAAAAGGUACGAAUUGUCUGGUGGUAAAUAACGAAAUCUUGCGGUCAGGAUCAGCUGGGAUUGCUGGCGGCCAGAGUUUUUUGCCUCUAAUUGUGUAGCAGCUCGGCACUCGUCAAAGAAUAAACCCGUAUUGGACAUAUCGGUGCUCGUGUUCGGAGCUUUCCAAGCAAAGUCUAGGCCCUGAAAGCCAUAAAGCCUAGCUAUUCUUAUUGAAGAGUCGAUGAAAGAUUUCCUGUGAGAAGAAUUUCUCACCAUUGAAGAAUAUAUAGAAUAGUUUGUAUAUCUUCCUUGUCUAAUGGAGAGAAGUGUAGUGGUUGAUGGGUUCUUUUGUUUCACAGUGCCUGUAAAUUUGGGGAAUAUUUGAUUUCCAUCAAACGGUGAUGAUAAAGAUAGCUGGUAAGUGGUGGAAUUGAUAUCAGCGUAAGAGCAGAUAAGGUGAGUGAAGAGAUCAUAAUUUAUGCCCGAAAUGGUGGACACUUCGCUUGGAUCCAAGUAGCCGACCCUGAUCCACGGUUUUGCUUUCGCGGGAUGAAAUUCUGAAUAGAACAACAUGUGGAAGAUGAUGCUGAUAAUUAUGGAUGCCAUUUGAGAGGCUUAUGCUUCUUAAUUACCACUUCGAUGGGAAUGGAAAUGAAUGCACACUAAUAGAAAUUAAAUAAACACAAGUUUCACAGUUCAUUAAGCUCUCAUGUGUACUAUUAACGUAUAGGUUCAUUUCGUUGCCCAAAAAAAUCUUAUGUGCUCCUGAUAGGGACACAUACAUUGGAUGAUAAGAUGAUGAUAGGCGAUGCGACCAUUGCCCAAGAACUAAGAUUUUCUUCUAUCGCGUGGGUGACUUUUCAUGAAGAAAAAUGAUGUUUUGAUUGACAUAUGGUUAAACCGAUGCCAUAUUUCGGGCUACAAAUAUCAGUAUUGUUUUAUUAAAUAAUUAAAAAAAUUAAUUUUACGUGCAUGUUGAAGGUAAUAUUGCAGUCUUUUGAGCCUGUGUUGAAUUUCAUUCGUGUGCGUUCAUUUAUUAUCUAUCCUCUUUUUUCUCUGUGUGUCUGCUAGCUCUAGUCAUCUUAAAAGAAUAACAUGUUUAAUUAAUGCAUGUAAAUGCACCGCAAAAGUAGUUAAGAAAGACUUGAUCAAAGAUCAGACAUUUUCUCUCUACUCAAAAAGUAGUUAUUGGACUAAUUAAGAUUCUAAUCCCUUUAAGAAAUAUUGAAAAAGGGUUACUGUCACUACUUCAGUCCUUGUUGUUACAUAUAUAUAUAUAUAUAUAUAUAUAUAUAAAUUUAAAGAAGCAUCACAUAAAUCCUUCCUAAUUAUAUUUUGUUUCAUUCAAGUUGUUGACUUAAUUUGUCUGCUUGGAAAAAUUAGUAAAAAGGUAAAAAUAAAAAAAUGUAAAUUCUACUUAUUAGACUAAAUAUAUAGUAUAAAUUUGCAGCAACCAGCAAAAGUUUGGAAUAUGAAAAAUCCUAUUAAUUUUUAAAAAAUCUCCGAAAGUUUGAAAACUAAUAUUUUAAGGUCCUUUUACAAUAACCAUAAUUAACAUGAAUUUACUAAAUUAGGCAAACCCGAAUUACUACCAUAUAAUAAAAUUUUAUAACAGAAAUAAGAAAACAAAACAAAUAGCAUCAAAUCUUAUAUCUAAAAAAAAAUCUUGAAAUAAAUAGAAAAAAUAAGAAAAUAACUAAAACUUGCAAAAUGACCAUGAAAGAAAUGAAAUUUCCGACUGAACCAAAGGGCCAAUACACAUAGCAUUAUUGGACUAGAUCUAUCAUGGUGCAAACUUCAAAACAGUAUAUUAUAUUUUCUAAAUGGACACAUAUAGGUUAAGUUAUGAUAUUAAAAAAUAUCCUAUUCAUCUUACACAACCAUUCUAUGUCACUAUAUCUAUACACUAAUAAUAUAACCCAAACAUUUAUGGAGCAUAACUCACAGACCUCCACUAAUUACACUAAAGUUUACUCUCAUUUUAUAAGAGAGAGAAAUGUUCUCGUUCUCCAUUUAUGGGGGAUUAAACCAAAUGGUCUGUUUUUGAUUUUCUGGUAAGUUGUGUAACGUUGGAGCUUUUUGGCACUUCUUUGACGAAAAGUCGUUCUCUUCGACAACCCAAAAUUCGGGCCAAUGGGCAAUUAUGAAAGUCCAUUGGAUGCAUUGGACCAAACUAAAAGUCCAUAUAUAUAUGUAUAUAUAUAUAUAUAUUCAAUAAAUGAAAUGAAAAAAUGCAAUUGGCUUGCAGUUGCAAAGCUUCUUUGUUUAUUAUUAUAUAAUAUAAUAUAAUAUAAUUUUAUAUCAUUUUGAAUAUCAAAAUUUUAUUUCAAAAUUUAUUUAACACUAGUGUUUAAUAUAAGAUACAAUACUACCAAAAUUCUAUUCAAUAGUUUAUUUAAAAUAGUAUUGACUAUUAAAAAUAAGAAUUUACACUAAUAUUAAAUAUUAAAUUCAACAAUUAGUAACAUUAUUUAAAAUAAUUAUAGUAUUUAAAUGGUUAUUUAUCUUUAUUAAAUAAGAUUUAACAUAAUCCUCUGCGACAUUUUACUAAAUAAAUACAGUACUAUAUAUAAUCCAAUCUAAUCUUAAACAAUAAUCUAUUCUAUUCCUACCUUCCAAAUAUAAACACAAUAGAUAAUGAGAGCAUGAGCUAUGAGAUUAUAAAUCAUGGAUCAAGGGAGUAGAGAUACAGACCUUGAGAUCAUAGAUCGUAGACUAUUAGAGACUAAAGACCGUGGACAAAUCCGAGUACAUUAAAAAAAGGGGAAUUUUAGUCAAAUGUAGAUUGAUAUUAAGGAAUUCAGCAAGCAAGCUACAAGAAUAUCCAAAAGCGUGUAAUUUAUGUUUAAGGAAACAAGUGGAGAUAGAGAUGAAAUUGUAAAUUCAUCCCAAUCUUAAGUGGCUUAAUUCAAGAUGUAUGUUACCUACAAGCACAAUAAUAUGUACACGUUAUGUAUACAUGCAUCACAUACGUGCGUCGAUCAUCGAUGUAAAAGUAACAGUAAAUUUCUAGUAAAACAAACAUCAUUACUUUUAGUAUAAGAUGUAAAAAAUAUCAAUUAAUAACCAUUAGAAAAUAAAAAUUUAUGUAAUUGAUGCAGAUAAAUGGAAUCAAGUAGUAACAUUUCCUUCUCAUUGAAGAGAAAAGAUUAAAAAAAAGAAAAGGGGGGGGGGGGGGGGGGGGGAGGAGCGCAAACAUGACAAUUAUUUUUAUCCGCACGUGCCAUGAUAAUCGAUAAUCCGAUAUACCAACCGCGUCUAAUUGUCUGAAUUCUCAAGCUUAUCAAGCUUGCUCAAUCGCACCGCAGACACUGACCAUGGGAGAUUAAUCACCACUCGCAGUAUUAGGCGCGUGAAGGACACAUUCGCCAAUAAUUUAUAGCGGACAGUAGCAUUCCCGAUGCUGCGCGGAGAAAAAUAGUUGGGCUUGCGAAAGUUAAAUUGACUUGACUCGACAGAGUGAAGAAUGGUGGUGGUUGCUGUUAAGCAGUCGGUACUUCUGGCGACUGCUUGGCUUACACGCAGUUCCCGGGGGUGUCAUUUGACUGUGAAAGAGAAUUUUGGCUUUAUUGAUAUCUUGUUGGAUUUGGAAUUUUGGAUGGCUUCGUGUAGACCAUAAGACACGAUAUCGUUCAUAACACGUUAGCAUUCUUUCUCACGGGAGAAAAACUCGGGUGGGAGCAGAUGUACCAUCUCAACUGCCGUUUAUAAAUGGCUGUCAAAUAAUUAAUCAAAAUUUUAUUAUUUACGGUUAUAAUUGGAAUGAUAAAAAAUCAAUUCGAUGUUAUUCUUUGUGGCUCUGCUUAGAAUACUAAAAAAUCAAAUCGACUUAUUUAUUUUUAUAUUGAUCAUUACAAGUCUCUUGAAUUUUUUACCUACUUCAUUAACUUGUUAUUUUGAGUUGUACGUAACAUGGCUUUUUUUGUUUUUUACUUUACUUUGGUUUUCUUUAUAACCCAUAAAAAUUUUCUUGUUAAGACUGUGUGAACCAAUUGAAACUUCAGAUUCAUACUAGAACUAUGAUGAUUUGAUAAGAGCUUCAAAUUAAAUCCACAGAUUCUAUGAAAAGAAAAGAAAAGAAAAAGUCUUUUAUUGGUAAAAGAAGAAAGCUCUUCGGCACUGAUCCGAAGAAAAAUCAUUCUCCAUACAAUGAGCAAAACAAAGUCCAAUUCGCAUUACAUAGAAGUAAAACCGAAGCAUUGGACUAAAAGCAUACAUUAGUCUUAUUUUUCGUUACUGAUAACAUUUUUUUUCCCUUAUAUUAUCACCUUAAUUAAGAAAAAUAAUAAUUUGUUUAACUAAUUACAAAAAAGGAUGGCUAUAUACAAUAUUCUUGUGUUGGAUGGCCUUAAAAGUCAAUUCUUUUGAAACAGGAAAACUGGUAUCGUUUUUCAAAACACAAAAAUAUUAUGUUAAGAAAAUGAAUGGUCUUUAAGAGUUAUGACAAUGAUAUCAAUAAAAUUACAAAAUCUUAAGAGUUUAUAGAUGUAGUUAGUGAUAUUACAUUACAUUAAUUAAUACAAUGCAAAUUGUUUACUAAUAGAGCCUCAGGAGAGUGAUUCAUUAUUUAGUUGGCCAAUUAAACAACUGCAGCAGUCACUAGCAGCUUGCCAAGAGCUAGCAUAGAUCAAUUGUUCAUCUACCAACCAAUUUUGAAAUUGUUACAUCAUUACUUGAACAUAUUUCCAAUCCAAUCGUGGCUUUGUUUUGUUCAUCUUCAUAAGCUUUGUUUGAGAAACUUGCAGGCUUCUUUGGAGUCAUUAUAUCAGCUGUAUUUUCAUUUUCGAUCAACGAAGAAAUUUCUAGUAUAGAAGGUCUAUUGUUUGGGUUCUCCUGAACACAUAGCAAAGCUACUUGCAGACAUGUCAAUAAUUUCCAUGAGGAAUGCGUAUCAUCUAGUGAUGGAUCCAUUAACUCCGUGCCUUUCCCAUCCUUCCACAACUCGUAUGCCUGAAAACAUC
rnacentral:lncRNA from 1 species